GUAAUCCCUUAGGAUGUCUAAAUUGUUCAGUAUGUAUCCUUCUAGCUCAGAAGUUGCCAGGGCUUAAUGUUGAAGUUAUAGACGGGAAGGUAAUCCGGACACGAGACAAGAAAGUUUCCCUGUGCAUCAUUAUGUAUCCUCUAGUAACUUGUUUUCUGGUGAAAUGGUGUUGUCAUGUACUUCUGAGCAUGUAUAGUUGAACUUUAAUUGUAAUUCUCUAUGAAGAAUAAUGUGAACU
rnacentral:misc_RNA from 1 species